CCUACGGGAGGCAGCAGUAGGGAAUUUUGCGCAAUGGGCGAAAGCCUGACGCAGCAACGCCGCGUGAUCGAGACGCCCUUCGGGGUGUAAAGAUCUGUCAGUGGGGACGAAACUUGACGGUACCCACAGAGGAAGCACCGGCUAACUCCGUGCCAGCAGCCGCGGUAAUACGUAGGUGGCAAGCGUUUUCCGGAUUUAUUGGGUGUAAAGGGCGUGGAGGCGGGAAAGCAAGUCAGAUGUGAAAACUCAGGGCUCAACCCUGAGCCUGCAUUUGAAACUGUUUUUCUUGAGUGCUGGAGAGGCAAUCGGAAGUCCGUGUGUAGCGGUGAAAUGCGUAGAUAUAAGGAGGAACACCAGUGGCGAAGGCGGAUUGCUGGACAGUAACUGACGCUGAGGCGCGAAAGCGUGGGGAGCAAACAGGAUUAGAUACCCGGGUAGUC
rnacentral:rRNA from 1 species